GAUCUCUUAUCUGAGGCCUUCUAAAGGGCAGUAUUUACAGGUCAAUGGAAAUCCCAUCCAUUAUGCCAGCUCUUAUCAGCAGCACCAUCAAAAAUAUCACAGGUAGAGUCAACACAAGAUGUGCUGCUUCUCUCCCAGGCUUCCUUGCCCUGUUGUUGCCUUGUCUCUUGCGACCUCAGCUGGCUUCUUAAUUCUAUCAGCUACAAGCCCAGAAUCGGGGACUUGAGGAGGUUUCAGCUCCAGCAUUCCUGAGCUAUAUCCAUUAGCCCUCAGAGUCAGCCUCUAAGGUAUCUCUCCUGGAUAGGAACGAGUUCAGCCUGCAAAUUCAUCGCUACUAUAAGCUCCUUUCCCCUUGGAGCCUUGGAUGUGGCACAAUGGCGCUCCCUGCCGGCCGAGCCGUGGCUGAGGUGGUAGUGAAGAUUGCAUUUCUGGCUUCCGUCAACUCAAAUAGUUUCGUUUUAGGAUCCCAAAAUGCAAAUUAGUGGUGUUAAUUUAAUGAAUCCUGCAGCAGAUGCAAAGAACUGUCACCUGAUUAAGUCAAAUGUAACUUAGUGCUGUUAUCUGUGGAAGUAAAUGCAAUUCCAGCCUUGGUGGAUCAUGUGCCUGGGAGAAAUACCUGCUGGAUUUGACUGUGGCAGGUGGAACCUGCUGCACAUCCAUGCUGCAACUCGAUGAAAGAUACAGCAAAAGGAGAUUAUUGCUCUAGAAAAGGACAGCCCUUGUUUCAGUGACUGACUAGAAAUCCUCCUUCUGCUGUGCCUGUCCUUGUUCAUGAUGAAAGCUAAUUAGAAACAUGGCAACAUGAUCAAAGCAGCAGACUGAUUUACUGGGAAGGACUGAGGCUCACACCUUCUGAAAGGCCCAGAAGAACAGAAGUGCAAAUGCUUUUUGGUCACUGGGGAUCUCGACAGAACAGCUUAUAAUAAAUAUAUGUGCUGUGAACAAACACUAACCUAAAGCACAAUGAAGGAGCAGCAUCAUACCAGAAAAGAACAGUGCCAGUUAUUGACAGAGUAAUACAGACAAUUACUGAGGUAAAGAAUGGAAAAUGACAUUACCUUGUGCAGGGCCUGGUGGCUUCAUCCUGAUGUCUGUGAGCUCGGUGACACAGCUGUGUGGGCACACAGGCCUGUAUGGCAGGGAGAAAUGUACAGGGAUGGUACUGGGUGUUGCUCAGGAAACUGAGGUAAUACCAAGCCUGGACAGGGCAAUAUUGCUGUGUGAAAUAUUGCUGUGUGAAAUGCCUCCAAGGGCUCAGGAGACACAGAGGUUCCUCAGGAGCACAGAGCAGCUCGUGCUGGGCUGUGGCGUUUGGGCGGGAAAUGCUGAGGUACCUCAGAGCAGGGAGUGCAGCACUGCUUGGAGGGAAUAGCUGUUCUGUCUGUAGCUGGUGUCACAGCUGUACUGCUGAAGUUGUUAGCAUCAACUUGUCAAAGCAGCCCUGGGAUGGCCUCACUGUGACCACACUACACAGCCAGCAGUGAAAUGAGUCCUGCCUGAGAUACAAGAAGAGUUAUUUCCUGAGCUGGGAGUAACAGUUUGUGCUUCUACGCUACAAGAAAACAGGCUGAAUUCAGUCCACCCAAAGACUCGCCUAGACAAGUACUAUCUCUACUUGCUGCCUGACUGCACACACUGAACAUCUCCCCUGAAUCCUGAUUUUAUACUUCAAAAAUAGACCUGAUUUAAUCCAGGUUAAACUGAAAUCUGCUUUCUCUGACCAAAAUCUGAGCUCAUGAGAGCUGGCUUCUGCAGUAAACCUCUUCUAAUGAGAAGCAGGUUAUAAACGAAGUGAGCUGUUUUUAGAAUACUUUGCUCUCAUUACAUAGAUACAAAGCCAUUUCUGCAAGAGUCGCUUUCAGAAGACAUAUUCAAGCUUAUUGCUCUCAUAAACAGUGAAGGAUUUGUACUUUCAGUGCGUUUACUAGCCAUGGAAAUUAUCUCAUCAAAGCCACCCAUAAACAAUAGCUGCAAAAACCUAUUGCCAGUCUGUGUCAUUCCAAAGCACAUUUAUUAUGCCUGCCUGUAAUAGUUUUGCCAGUACUAGACUCCAAACAUCAUUAUUUGCCAUGCGCUGCAAUGAUUAGUACUGAAUAAUUAAGCUGAAUGGAAAUGAAUCAAGUCUCUGUCCAUUUGUUUGGCGAUCCACUCAAGUAUCUGCUAAGCUACUAUCUGCAUACAGCAGUUUACCAUCUCCUGUACUGGCAUCUAUGAUCCUGUAAUAACUAAAAAAAUGGAAACGAUUUAGCAAGGGAAAAUACUAUUACUGUCCAAUUGCAAAACAUGGAACCUUACAGGAGGAUCUCCUGUUUUCAUUUCUGUUCUAAAAACCACCACUCUGCCAGCUUCAGACCCCUUGGCAAGGACGUGGUGUGGUGUACACAACAUAAAAACCAACACAAAUCUGCCAGAUCAAAGUUAAGAAAAUGAAGAAAUCACCAAACCUUUUUAGAAAGGAAACAUGGCACCUAUCUAAGGCCUGACCCUACAGGCUUCAAAGUCGAACUGAAAGCAGAAUCUGUGCUCCUGCUGGAACGAAUGGAGGUGGGGAUCCACGCAGCAGAAAAAAGUUACUGCAAUAGUUAAAACGUUUCAAAUGGAACAUUUGUUACUAGAAGACGACAGCUUUCACACAAACAGCCCAUGUUCUGGGCUCAACUCAAUGCAAAUAAAUAUUUAAACAAAAUCUAAAUGGUUCCUCAGCUUCUUCUGCUUUGGUCAUUUGAGAAAGAAUUUUGUUUUGGGAUUGUCAAACAUUUUGUUUGUGCUCUUUCUUGUUUUCAUACUUCUGUUUCAAGAGUAGCGUUGUGUAUUUUCAUGUAACAGCCAUUAAGUUUUACAAUGUCAUAAAUGAAACAUCUUUAUGUUUUCAAACCUGACGCAGUGUUACUGAAUUAAACCUCUUGCUACUCCAAACCAACAACAAAACGUUCAGUUUUCCUAACAGGAAACUCGACGACUUCAGCUUUUUGUUUCCAUCUGAAAUAAAACCGACUUCGUUUCCAAGCAAUUCCAGCAGUGUAAGUUCAGUGCCAUUCCUCCCAGUGCAUUUAUCUGCACUCCUAAGAAGCACAUUAAGCUCCACCUCUGCUAUGGAACUGUUGUUGAUGAGCAGAAUUUAUUUAGGAAUCAUACCUGUUUUUUUCCCUGUGUUUUCUUGAAUU